rnacentral:rRNA from 1 species
UACGAAGGGGGCUAGCGUUGCUCGGAAUCACUGGGCGUAAAGGGUGCGUAGGCGGGUUCUUAAGUCAGAGGUGAAAUCCUGGAGCUCAACUCCAGAACUGCCUUUGAUACUGAGAGUCUUGAGUUCGGGAGAGGUGAGUGGAACUGCGAGUGUAGAGGUGAAAUUCGUAGAUAUUCGCAAGAACACCAGUGGCGAAGGCGGCUCACUGGCCCGAUACUGACGCUGAAGCACGAAAGCGUGGGGAGCAAACGGG